rnacentral:misc_RNA from 1 species
AGGAGAAAAAGACAAGUAACACUUGUUUGCUAACUUUCAUGUUAGAAAUUAGGACAAUGAGAAAUGAAUAGUAGGUAAAAAAGAAUUACAACUUAAAAA